rnacentral:rRNA from 1 species
UGGGACUGAGACACGGCCCAAACUCCUACGGGAGGCAGCAGUAGGGAAUCUUCCACAAUGGACGAAAGUCUGAUGGAGCAACGCCGCGUGAGUGAAGAAGGGUUUCGGCUCGUAAAACUCUGUUGUUAAAGAAGAACAUAUCUGAGAGUAACUGUUCAGGUAUUGACGGUAUUUAACCAGAAAGCCACGGCUAACUACGUGCCAGCAGCCGCGGUAAUACGUAGGUGGCAAGCGUUGUCCGGAUUUAUUGGGCGUAAAGCGAGCGCAGGCGGUUUUUUAAGUCUGAUGUGAAAGCCUUCGGCUCAACCGAAGAAGUGCAUCGGAAACUGGGAAACUUGAGUGCAGAAGAGGACAGUGGAACUCCAUGUGUAGCGGUGAAAUGCGUAGAUAUAUGGAAGAACACCAGUGGCGAAGGCGGCUGUCUGGUCUGUAACUGACGCUGAGGCUCGAAAGUAUGGGUAGCAAACAGGAUUAGAUACCCUGGUAGUCCAUACCGUAAACGAUGAAUGCUAAGUGUUGGAGGGUUUCCGCCCUUCAGUGCUGCAGCUAACGCAUUAAGCAUUCCGCCUGGGGAGUACGGCCGCAAGGCUGAAACUCAGA